GGGGAUCUGCAUCGUGUACCUCAAAAUAUAUCGUCUUCGAUUGACAACUGACCAGCCGACCAGGACAGAUCAUCGGGGCCGGACAUUUAAGAUUCCUAGGAAAAUUCACGUAGUCGCAGAACCCCACACCUGCCCCCAAUAAUCGGUUACACACUUCGUUCGCAUGGUUUUAAGUUUGAGUCUUCGGUUCCCAGAAAGAACCCCACACUUGCCACCAGUAAUCGG